UCCGGUUUGUCACCGGCAGUCUCAUUAGAGUGCCCAACUAAAUGUAGCAACUAAUGACAAGGGUUGCGCUCGUUGCGGGACUUAACCCAACAUCUCACGACACGAGCUGACGACAGCCAUGCAGCACCUGUCUCUGCGCCCCUUGCGGGGACCGUGCAUCUCUGCACGUAGCACAGGAUGUCAAACCCUGGUAAGGUUCUGCGCGUUGCGUCGAAUUAAACCACAUGCUCCACCGCUUGUGCGGGCCCCCGUCAAUUCUUUUGAGUUUCACCCUUGCGAGCGUACUCCCCAGGUGGCAUACUCAACGCGUUAGCUGCGCCACCGAAGAGCAAGCUCCCCGACGGCUAGCACCCAUAGUUUACGGCGUGGACUAC
rnacentral:misc_RNA from 1 species